AACGUAGGGGGCAAGCGUUAUCCGGAUUUACUGGGUGUAAAGGGGGCGCAGACGGCGAUGCAAGCCAGGAGUGAAAGCCCGGGGCCCAACCCCGGGACUGCUCUUGGAACUGCGUGGCUGGAGUGCAGGAGGGGCAGGCGGAAUUCCUGGUGUAGCGGUGAAAUGCGUAGAUAUCAGGAGGAACACCGGUGGCGAAGGCGGCCUGCUGGACUGCAACUGACGUUGAGGCCCGAAAGCGUGGGGAGCAAACAGG
rnacentral:rRNA from 1 species